rnacentral:rRNA from 1 species
AACGAACGCUGGCGGCAGGCUUAACACAUGCAAGUCGAACGCGUGUAGCAAUACACGAGUGGCGCACGGGUGAGUAACGCGUGGAUAUCUGCCUUUUGGUUCGGAAUAACCCCGGGAAACUGGGGCUAAUACCGGAUGGUUCCUUCGGGAUAAAGAUUUAUCGCCAAAAGAUGAGUCCGCGUCCGAUUAGCUAGUUGGUGAGGUAAUGGCUCACCAAGGCGACGAUCGGUAGCUGGUCUGAGAGGACGAUCAGCCACACUGGGACUGAGACACGGCCCAGACUCCUACGGGAGGCAGCAGUGGGGAAUAUUGGACAAUGGGGGCAACCCUGAUCCAGCCAUGCCGCGUGAGUGAUGAAGGCCUUCGGGUUGUAAAGCUCUUUUGGCGGGGACGAUGAUGACGGUACCCGCAGAAUAAGCCCCGGCUAACUUCGUGCCAGCAGCCGCAGUAA